UUAAAAAGGUUGGGUGAGAUUUUUUUGUUUUGGUGUGAAGGGACCCACAAUUGUUUUUAAGCUGUCAUAAGACCGCAUUUUUUUUUUUUUUGCUCUCUGAUAUCUCACUCUCUCUCCCAUUUGCCUGCUUCUCUCUUCCUCUUAGUUUUCUUUUUUUCCUUUUUCCACUUCAAGGCUUCAAUUCUUGAUUCCUUCUUCAAUAGGUAGUAUUUUUAAGUGCCGUUUGUGGCUAUUCGAAGCUCACGGCGAGGCCUACAAGUUGAUAGGAGCAAUUCCUUGGUUGGUGCACCAUAGGAAAUUUGAAAUCCUAGGGUUUGAGGUGAAGAAAUUGGGGGUUUUGCAUAAAAUUAAGGGCUCGAAAAAGAAGUGGCAGAUGACAAUCCCCCGCAAGCUUGAAGAAGAUUAAGAGUUGUAUUUUGUUAUCUUUUGUAUCUUAGCCCAUUUUUGUAUAGUCUCAAAACCAAAAUGUCGUGUAUUCAUUUUUGCAAGCUAAGAUCAUGUAUUAUAAAUCAUAACUCUUGUUGGUAUUUUGAAGGAAAACAAAACUAUGUAAUGCUUAAGUUGAAUUUGAUGACGAUGAUGGGCUAACUUGAGGAAUGUAUUAUAUGUUUUUGUA